GUCUAUGGCCACACCACCCUGAACCCUGAUCUUGUCUGAUCUCAGAAGCUAAACAAUCAGGCCUGGUUAGUAUUUGGAUGAGAGAAAUCCACUUUAAAUAUAACAAUAUGAGUA
rnacentral:rRNA from 1 species